rnacentral:rRNA from 1 species
GACGAACGCUGGCGGCGUGCCUAACACAUGCAAGUCGAGCGAUGAAAUCCCUUCGGGGAUGGAUUAGCGGCGGACGGGUGAGUAACACGUGGGUAACCUGCCUCAAAGUGGGGGAUAGCCUUCCGAAAGGAAGAUUAAUACCGCAUAAUAUUAGAUUUUCGCAUGAAGAGCUAAUUAAAGAAGCAAUUCGCUUUGAGAUGGACCCGCGGCGCAUUAGCUAGUUGGUGAGGUAAUGGCUAACCAAGGCGACGAUGCGUAGCCGACCUGAGAGGGUGAUCGGCCACAUUGGAACUGAGACACGGUCCAGACUCCUACGGGAGGCAGCAGUGGGGAAUAUUGCACAAUGGGGGAAACCCUGAUGCAGCAACGCCGCGUGAGUGAUGAAGGUCUUCGGAUUGUAAAGCUCUGUCUUUUGGGACGAUAAUGACGGUACCAAAGGAGGAAGCCACGGCUAACUACGUGCCAGCCGCCGCAGUAAUAC